UACAGAGGUGGCAAGCGUUGUUCGGAAUUACUGGGCGUAAAGGGCGCGUAGGCGGUCUUGCAAGUCCCGUGUGAAAUCCCUCGGCUCAACCAAGGAAGUGCUUUCGAAACUGCUGAGCUUGAGUAGUUAAGAGGAUCGCGGAAUUCCCGGUGUAGAGGUGAAAUUCGUAGAUAUCGGGAGGAACACCAGAGGCGAAGGCGGCGAACUUGACGACAACUGACACUCAACUGCGAAAGCGUGGGGAGCAAACAGG
rnacentral:rRNA from 1 species